GGGCGUUCAGUUUAGGCCACCGGAAGUUAGACUAAUAAGAGAGCGGACGUGGGCUCAAAGAAGGUAUUGCAGAUUGAACGUGACGUAAUGAAGGGAGAAGCCGCUCAGGAGAAGUUUGUCUGACUGGUUGGAUUCUUACAUUGAACCAGUUAGAAACAACACAAUAAACCAAAAAGACCGAACAUCUGAUUAGCAAUUAUGCUUAUUAUAGAUAUAUUUAAUAAAGUCAACAGUCGAGCACUAGUCAAGAGAAGUGGGAACGAUGUGUUUUUUAAGUUAAUUGAUUUAAUUCAUUUGUGAUGGCUACCCUAACAAGGCCAGAAAAAGACGGAAAAAGGAUGAGAAAGUAAGUAGGAUAAGUUUGUUUCCCCCUCAGGAGCCACCCUCACAGCAGGGGACAGACUGUGCGGAGAGCAGCGGGUUCCAGCAGCGAGAUGUCUACACAAAGCAAAACUAAAGCCUUCGAAGAAGAAGGAGCGGACAAAAAACGUGUGCGUCCACUGAGGAUGCUCACUUUUUGGAAAGCGAAGGACCCCCCCCCCCAAAACGUCACCUCCUCAGCGAUGGUACGACACACGGCCCUUCUGAACACCCCGUCUCAAAGCCCUCACGUUGAUCCGGCAUGGACAACCAACGAUGGCCACGCGGAACAGUUCCUCCUCCCUGAGUCAUACGGGGAAGACAGCGCCUCCCGUUAGACCCCGUUUCUCUAAGGCGGUCUGACCAACAGAGACGUGCUGCAGACCGAUAUGAAAGCCGAACCCCUCGAGCCCAACGUCCGGGGGCUCUGGUGAGAAACACAGGCCAAACAGAAUAUGUGCCAUGGGGACACCGGGACUUUGAGACCCUGGUAGCUUCUUUACCUCCACUGAAGAGGGGUGCGGACCCCUAGGUUCGACGGAUGGAAGAGCUCACGGCGAAAGACCAGCUGUCGCUCGGAGAGGUGCGCGCCUUGCUGCUCCGCGCCAAAGCUAAGCUAAACGAAAUAGAAGCUAUAACCGACACCGCCCACAGAGCUGACACAGAUUCUUUUAAUUCCCACCGAGGAAGGUACUGGCAGGCCCUGCGAAGCAUCUGGCCUACUCAACUGGACAAGUCCGCCCUCAUCGGGAUGGAGAAGAAAGCGGGGGAAGAAAUGUAUCGGUACCUGCAAAGAGCAGAGGAAGAAUGGCUUAGAGUCACAGGAGUGAGACACGACCGCGAUUAUUUCACCACCUGGUUUUGGCGUACCCAGGUGCAAAAAGGUUUGCCACAGCCGGUGCAGCAGAAGAAGUGGAGGAACUUAUAGGAGACAUGGAGGAUGCCUCGUGGAGAGGGCACCUCGCUCGACACGUCCAAAGACACCAGGCGAAGGAAGAGAGCAGCCAAGAAGAACUAAGGAAGCUGACAAUACAACUGCUAAGAAUGCAGGUAGCCGAAGCCAAUAAAAAGAAACACCAGGCCAAGAUGCAGAAGAAAGCAACAGAGGCCCAAGCAACCCAACAUGCCCAGAACACCCAGCCAGGAGCACCUGCAGAGCCGUCUCAGCCUUACCCAGUGGCCCCCGCCCAGCCAGCGUUUCGCUACCAACCUGCUCAACCGUAUGCAGACGGAGGACGAGGCUACGAUGGAGGAGCAUUCCAGGAAGGGUGGUACGGGCCACCGCACGACCCAGGAAGCAGAGACGGCUGCUACACAUGCGGCCAGAAAGGACACUGGUCCAGAACCUUCCCCAGAAGAUGAGGAUGAGGAAUCCGUCCUGACCAACAAGAUCGGUACUGAGGAGGCCCAAAUUGUUCUGCUUUUUUGUAUUUUCGUUUUCCUUUUUAGGGUAAUUUUGUUUCUCUCAGAACCAUUUAAUGCCAAAUAUGUUGCACAUAGAAGAAAUUUGUUUUGUUGUGACUGUGCAAACAACAAAAAAUACUAAACAAAGAUGCACACAAGUGCAUGGACAGGAGUAAUGUUCAAAUCUGAAAUAGUCCUGGGAGGCAUGGAAGACUUUUUGUCUUUGUCGUAUCUUUUUUUACAUUUUUUGUAUUUUUUUACGGUAUCAUUCUAUAUUUUUGUAUAGAAUAGGGGGGCCCGGUGAGGAUGAGCGCGACCUCCUUCAACCCGUAUUGUUCUAUCAGAGUACUCACUCUAGAGUACUGAAUGGGAACAGCAAAAAGCCUGGGCAUGAAAUAGAGCUUCUUGGCAUGGUCAGCCGUCUGGAAAUUCAACAAGCAAACCGUUUCAUUGGGUGAUUGAAUAUUAUAUUUGUUAUUCACACUGCCUGUACUGCGUUUGAUUUUGUAUUUUUUAAUGAAAUAAAAAGUUGAUUUUUAUUGAACCAUCUAUUUUGAUUCAUUCCACGACGAACCCCUGACGAAGUCAGACUGAACACAUUCUUCACACAAGCCCCUGUGCAUCUCUGUAAGGGCCUCAUUUUGUUAUCCAUUAUGAAGGUACAUCAGAACAAGGUGCAAUGACGUGGCAAACCGUUGCAUACACUUAAUCCGUCAAUGUCAUUUGACAGAGGAAGUCUGUUAAAACCGCAAGAUCAUCGUGACAACCGGCUGCAGGAAGUCACUGACAAUAGUUACAGCGUGUACCUUUUAUUCGGUCCGUUUGCAGAUUAAACAAACCCUAAAAUGUUGUUGUUGUUAUUGUGUUCCUUGUGUGGUUGUAAAGUUCACGGAACACAAUGUAGCUCUUCAUCUCAGAGCUGUUACUCCGUCAUCCUCCUCUCAUCUGCCAGCUUCUCACUCCUCUCCGUCUGCUCAGCUCGACCACGCACAAGCUGCUCUCCCCUGCCCUCGUACUCCAAGAGCCCCCAACCCCCCCCACCGCAGUUAUUAUGUGAUGUGUUAAUGUAAAACUAUUACUAACAUUUGGACAGAUUUAUCCGUCAACAGUUGGGCCAGCACGGGACCGGCCAUGUGGGACUGCAGUCUCCCCAGGGGGGGCAGUUACUACCCCCCCCCACCCCGCCACCCUCUUUCUGAUGCCCAGUUUUAUCUUCAAGAGCAAAGGAAAGGUGGUUCUUCUUGCUGCAUCAUGCACCAAUAGUAGAGAUCCCACAGUGUCAAUUUGAUAGCGAUGCCUCUGAAGAAGUAUGUAAGCAAACCAGACUAGGACGAUUAUUUCUUGAUGCAUGUCAGGAGGAAACUGAAUGAGCGUCAAUAUUUUCACUGGCAAAGAUCGAGCAGUACGCUGACAUUAAAAGGAAGCAGGAGAUGAAUAAUAACACAUAUUUGGGCAACGUUCAGUCAACCUGAAAGCUGAUUACAUGCAUAUCUUCUAAAAAUAAACCCCCUUUAAACUUUGCCACCUCGCCAGUAGGUUGGGCUCCACAAGUUAAUGAGUGAAUGUUUCAUGUAUCUCGAUGAGGCAUCUCUACGCUCGUACUUUGAGCAAUAGAGUAAAGAACUCAUGAUAAUGUGAGUGCUAAUAUCGUGUGUAGGCGGAGUCACGGUGAGCGGGAGGAAUAAAGAGUCACUAGCAGGCUGUUAGCAUGUCAAAGUCACUAGUGGCCUGUUUGCAUCUCAGAGUUCACUAGCGGCCUGUUAGCAUCUCAGAGUUCACUAGCGGCCUGUUAGCAUCUCAGAGUUCACUAGCGGCCUGUUAGCAUCUCAGAUUCACUAGCGGCCUGUUAGCAUCUCAGAGUUCACUAGCGGCCUGUUAGCAUCUCAGAGUUCACUAGCGGCCUGUUAGCAUCUCAGAGUCACUAGCGGCCUGUUAGCAUCUCAGAGUCACUAGCGGCCUGUUAGCAUCUCAGAGUUCACUAGCGGCCUGUUAGCAUCUCAGAGUUCCCUAGCGGGUGGGGAGGGGGGGCUUUGGGUGGGGCCGGCUUUGAUUGUUGCUGCGACGCCCCGCUAACCAGAGCCGACUGAGUUGCUGCCAGCGCGACGCCACGAGGGACAGCGAGGACCUCUGCCCUCUGGUUUUCAGCCACACGGCGUAAGCCAGCGACAGUGAUGUGCUCUCCACAGCUGGCGCCCGCGGCCUCGCCCCGGGGCGCGGGAGAUGUGACCACGUCGGCGCUCGCUGGCUCCCCGGGUCUCAUUAGAGCCACGUCUGGGCCUCAGAUAUCCCCCAUAUGCAGCACACACACCAGCGGGGUGUUUUGGUUUGUUUAUUCUUUAGAAUAUAGCCAAAGGGAUGUUAGAUGCCGGGUACCCUUCUUGCCUCAUUAAAUGUCCCCCUGUUCUCAGAAAUCAGCUCCCUUGGAGAUUUGUGUAAAUAUUUGUGUUCACAAAUGAGGCGAAAUCUAUUUUCAGUCACCAAAAUAUGACUUUCCAGUUUCUAAUAAUCCUACAUAUAUUAUAAUUUAUUUGUUAUUGUUGUUAUUUAAUCAUUAAUGAAUAUUCGAAAAAACAUAAAAAGGCGUAAAAUCAGUCCAGUUUAAUAUUUGAUCUUUUGGUCCUGAUAGAAAAACAAAAUGUUCUUCCCUGUUUAAACCUGCAGCCCGUUCGGGUUUGGCAGGAGGAGCAUUGCAGGUGCAGAAGUUACAGUUCGACAUACGCUAAUUUCUUUUGUCACAUAGGAGUACAAAUAAAACCAUUUGAAUUGAUUAGUAAUUUCAAUCUAACAUUGUCAGCCGAGGAGUUUUCUUCCUGCUAGAUUCAUUUCAGUGUAAUAAGGACGGUUGGUUUUGGAUCAUUACUGAUCAAUUUAGAUUGCAUUUGACCCAGAAGACUUUACACCUUUAAUCUCUUUUUGUAAUUAGAGGCCCAAUUGGUAAAUCUCAGUGUUCUUCUUACAGAAAAAACAAAAAUUUUCCAUAUGUCACAAUCGUAAGUAAUGGUCAGCAUGACAAAAACAGGGCACAGCUCCAGUCCACGCUCAGUUUAUCUCAGGUGCUGAAGAAGAUGGGUCGCCCCCCCCCCCCUGCAGCCAACACUUAUCUGUUCAUCUCUGAAAGACGAGGCGAAGCCAUCGGAUAUCUGCCCGAAUCAAAUCACACCGCUAACGUCUCCCGUGUUCAGGAGCUCAUUUUUCUAACGUGAUCCACACACGGGGAUGUGCACAGGAGAGGACACCGGCGGGUCAAGUCGAAGAGGCCUCACGGACACAAAAAUGGAGAGUGAAAGAUGCAAGUGGAUUAUCAGCUUUGGGUCCAAAGCCGUGGAAGCUCUUGACCCCGUCCAAGCAGCGGCUGCUGCAGACACCACUGGGUGAAGGAAGACUUUGCACAAUUUACAGAGCAACGAAGUGGAGAUAAAGCCGCCUUUUUUCCCACCUAAGGGUGAAACACGCCAAAUCUACUGAUGCAUUUAGAGGGAUUCAGCUUUUCCAUUGAAUACUGCAGCUUACUGACCGCAGCGCAUAUUGUACCAGUGAGCAGAUGACAGCUUGACACGUUAUCCCUUAUGCACAAAACCAUAUGUCGUUGUCCAGCAUUUAAAUGCCAUUUCCUCAUUAAUCCCUCAAGAACUCUGUUACCACCACUCUCAAUAACACCCUUAGAACAGGUAUGACGUAAACAGCUGGACUUCCACAGUGUUCAGUUAAAUGCCCUUGAAGCUCUUUGCCAAAGUGAAGAUGACUUUAAUGGUUCCAGUCGCUCAGGAACCAGAUCCAGGAAAAAAGAUUUAGCAACAUCUCAUUUGCUUUGAGUUAGGAGAGUGAGAUGGGGUUGUGCGUGUGAGCCAGAUACAAGAAGUAACACAACGGAGCUCAGUGGAAAACAGCAGCUUUGUCUCGUGUCUGCAGGUUGGAAAUGCACUUUCUCAUCUCUAAAAUGAACAAUAUGUCUGUCACAUCGCACAGUGAGCGACUGUCACUUUUGACAGAAGAAGAAGAAGAAGGUACUGAAGCUGCAUCUCCUCUUGAAGCCUUCCCGGUAGACGCCUCACACCUGCCCGUUGCGUCUUUGUUGAGUAACGGCUGCUGGAUGACGAGGGGGAGCUGCAGUCCGAGGUCGAGGUUGCGAAAACGUCACCGCGGCCUUUGCUGAGCCAUCGCGCACAAGGAGGUCGUCGGCGUUUGCCUCUCAAUAAUUCCCUGAGCACGUGAUGCUGAUGUGGGGGGGACGAUGCCCGGGGGAAAGCUGAGAAUGACUCCAUCCGCUCACAGCGCUUAUUGGAACACACACAGUAUUCAGAAUUAGUGCUCUAAUUUUUCUCCGUCCCCUCCUUGGUGAUGUGGUUAGUCGAUGUGUGUCGGAUGAAUAGACGGCAGCCGCGCUCCGAAAACCCACCGACGGAAACCCACCGCCCGCCCCUCUGACCACGUCGUGCUCCGCUGCAGUCGAGCCAAAACCACGCGCGGUUGAACCCCCGCUGGAUCUUCUAGAAACGCUCACGCUUUGGUUGAGAGACCAGAGCCGCUCCAACCAACAGACCUCUGCUGACUUCACAGGCUGUUUGUUCUCCGUCUCCUGGAGGGCUUUUAAGCCCUCAAAUAUUUGCUCUUGGGCAACUAAAUUACAGAGACGCUACGUCGCUCGCCCUCGCCUCCGUCCUUGGACCCGACUUCCGAGGUGUCUGUGCACGGGGACGGGACGCUGUUCUCGAGCGCUGGUACAUUAGUCGCUCUUCCGUUCGAUUGUCGCGCCAGCACACUUUCGCCAAUGUGCGUGUCAGAACACACAAAAAGAGCAUGGAAUUAUUGUUCAGUAAAGGACCAUUUUUUUUAUCCGCUUAGCACGUUGACUGGUUGAUGAGGUGCAGGAUGUGGCGCAGGAAGUGGCGGAGGAAGUGGCGCAGGAAGUGGCGCAGGAAGUGGCGGAUCAAUGUAACUGUCUGGCAGGCGCUCUGCCCCGGAGAUAAACCUCCCGCUCUGUGUUUAAUGUGAGAAGGCCGUCUCACAUUAAACACACACACUGAACGCAACGCGCGUCACGAGUGAGGCCGCAGUCUUGGUUUGCGGCUGUCGCCGGGUUGUUUUUUUUAAGUUUUGGAAUUGAGAGCAGUGAGGUUCAGACCGCGUGUACGUCUUUAUUAUUUAAGAAGACUUGAGAUUGAGACCAUGAACUCGUGUUUGGCAAAGGUCACCUUUUACACAACUGAGGCAGUGGAAGCACACGAGAAGUGUUCACAGGAAGCAGGGGAUGCAGUGCUUUCCUGUUUGCCCUCAUGAUGCUGCUGUUGUCUCACGGUUAUGAAUAAAACACAAUGACUGACUGCCGAUACCGUUUCUGCAAACACAACAUGCUCCUUCGUUGUAAAGUGUUUAACUGGUGACACAUAAGGAGACUUUCUCAACUACGGCAAAUAAUACAAAUUUGGAUAUGGCUGUAAUCGUAUAUUCCAGAAUUUGUCCCUUUAAUCAUGAACUUAACGAAGUUAAAGACCGUGAAGGGCGACGGGGUGGAGGUGUGAGAAUCCAACACCCCCCUGCGUCACUGCUCAUUUAUUUUAGCCCCAAUGACAAUAUUUGCCUGAAUCUCGUCUCUUCCUUUCCUCCUCCGCUGAGCUCACUGAGAACGAAUGUGUGUGUGUGUGUGUGUGUGUGUGUGCGUGCAGACUCUCGCAGACACACAACAGUGCCUUUGAAAGUGUUUCCUAUUUAUAGAGUGUGUACUGUUUCCGUUGUCAUGUUGAUGAACAUCACAUUCAAAAGCCUGAAUUCUUUCUCAGCGUUCGCUUUGGAGAAAUUAGAAUUGAAAAAUGCAUCAAUCUGACACUGUAGAAGUCACUGAUUACACACAACCAAGGACAACGGCACACACACAGACACACACGGACAGACACGGACACACAUAGACACAAAUAGACACACAUGGAGACAUAUAGAUACAGACAGAUACACAUAGACACACACAGACACACACAGACACACAUGGAGACCCACAGACACACACAGACACACACGGACACAGUUCAGGUCUAAAAACAACGUGUUGCAGGUGUUUCUGAGCGUCAUCAUUUAUUCUCCUUUAUCUGAAUUUAUGUUUUAAGCAUUUUUAACAAUAGCGUCCUCCAUCUUUCUCACAGGAAAACUCCUGGUUCCAGGUGUAACCCGCUCAGGGGGGGGGGGUCUGUGUAGAACCCAAAUAUGUGGAGAUGUACCUAGGAUCCUCUACAGAGAACUCUACUAUGGUGUCAUGGUUCCACAGCCCUCUCUGCACGUUCUGCUCGGUUCCCGACAACAAGAACCCACCUCCAAAAACGUUCAUAAAUGGGGAUGAGCGGCUGACCUUUGAGAUACUUCUGUGGUUCCAUUCCCCCAACAACAGCAGACGCAUAUAAACACAAAUCCUCACACACACACACACACACACACACAGACACAGACACACACACCCUGGGGGUCACCGGUGCAGAUCUUCAUCCUGCACGGCAGCGAGGACGCGUCCUCAUCGGGCUGACCUUUGCUGCAGAGGGAGACAACGCUGAAAUGUUGAUGAUCCUCGUGCUGCAGGUGGAGGAACACACUGACUCCCCCAUCAGGGCGCCUCGUGGGUGCUCACAGAGCCGCAGUCCGGCCCUCCUGUUCGGGGGGCAGUAACCAUCGCUCCUCCAUAAUACCCCUUAAUGCCUCCUCGCGCGCACCGUCCGGUCCUCCCAGGAAGCCGCGUAUUGAUUUUUUGAACAAUAUAGUGGAAGAAACAAAACAAAAAGGAGUUGAAAUUCAGGUCGAUGCCCCACAAAGGUGUAAAUCGAUGGCGUUUUAAUCUGGCUAAGCAGCCCCAGUGAAUAGUCGCUAUGGAUCUCUUCUUCACAGUAAUUUAUGUGAGCUGUGGGGCUCAGAGCUACAAGACGUUUGUAUUUGGAGGGAAAUGGGCGACUUGUUACAUCGAUUAUCAGGAAUAAACUGUGCUGCAGGAAGUUAAACACGUCACUAAUUUGCUGUAUUAUUUGCAACACCUUUGGAAAAGGAAUCUUCACCUGUGACGACGUUUACAGAACGAAUUCAUUAAUUCAUUUAAUGACAUGACAAUUGCUUUAUUGGUACAGUUCAUAAUUAUAUACUGUAUGCAUACAUAGUGCACAAUAUUCCCCCAGUGUAAACUUGAUCAUACACAAGAAGCGAAGGCUCAGCAGCGUCUUUCAAAUGUUACUGUUUCUUAAUUAAUCCGAGCUGCGUCUCGUACUUCGUGCGUUCUGAUUUAAAAUAGAUGCUUUGGCUGGAAACCCUCCGCGUGUGACGUCUCUCCUGCUCUCUAAAAAAAAAAGACCUGAUGUUGUUGAUGUGGCCGUCGGUGAAGUGACGGGCAAACAUCUGAAAACAUGAAAAAGUGUCAUCUCUGUCGGAGGGUUUAUCUCACGUGUGCCCUCUUCCACUAAUUGGACCGCGUCCCGUGCGGUCUCGCUCCACCUCGGGUUCCCAGAUGGAAGAAGACGCGCGUGGGAGACAUCCUGGAGGCCACGUUAGAACGGCGGCCCGCUGAAAAGGUCUUGAGAGACGAGGGUGUCGAGCCAAAAGGUUGAAGAAGAAACGACAGGUGUCUGUACGUCUCAAUAUCUCGGGCUUCUGUUUUCCCCUUUGAACCGUGAUAUUUCUUGUCGUUGGAUGAUAAACUGGGCUGGAUGUCAUUAAGAAAACGCUGGUAGCGAACAUCGGUCCUCGCUUUAGAUUCUGAGCUGUGCCUCCGUCCUCACCGCCCCGGAGCACGCAGAGGUGCAGCGCCGCAGCGACCACAAAACCACGCAAUUAACCUUGGAGACGGUUUGAAUUCCGCCAACAGGGAAUAAACGCAGCAUCCCGUGCAGCGGCGAGGACCAAUGGGGGAGCAGGACCCGCCACGCCGGCCUCGCGCUUCGCUCUCCCGACCUCUGCUGAUGAGCACAUUUAAUAGUCUGUCUCCCCGUGCAACCUUUUUGUCAUCAAUGCCCCCCCCCACCCCCGCCCCCCCGCUCACAAUGCUUCAGAGGAGGCUGCAGAUAUUCAAACGGAUUGUUUUAAUCAGCCAAAAAACACAUUAUGGAAAUCCUUGUUUGACUUUUGUGUCUGUGUCGAUCGGAGCUGCUUUUGUCAACGUUCAUUCUUUCUUUUCACUUUUCUUCUCUUAUUAUUUUUUAGCACGAAGGCGUUCGAAGGCCUUGCGUGGGCAGAUGGGUAAAUGGGGGGAAAAUUCGCUCAUCAAUCAAAACACGGCGUGAUGAAUAUGAUAUAAUACAAGCGUUUUGUCAUUUCUCUGUCCUCUGUGAGCUCGUGGCUUCAGCGCUAAAGCGGCUAAGUGGGAAUAAACGGGUGCAGAGCUGCAGGAGGCCAUGAGGGCUUAGGACUUUACCAGCGUCAAUAAAGAGGAAUCAACCAAAACAAAGAAGACACGUCUGGCUCUGCUGCAUCGAUUUGGAUCAUCGUCCUUUAAUGGAUUUCAUCAAAGCGGUUAUCGGUAAUUAAAUUCAGAAUAGUCCGUCUCCUAAAUAACUUUAAGACUCACUGUAAUAUGACACGAGCCCAACAUGUAAUCGCUCCUUUGUUUCCACCGCGUUGCAUCACCGCUGUUGCUAAAAAGGCCCACAACACAGAAUUGUUUCAAUCCCGAACGUCAUGAAAUUAAAAGCCGGGAGGCUUAAACGCUUUCCAUUACGGAGCCGUCACGAGCGAUAUCCACCACUGUGAACUUUGAAGGGGAAACGGAACCUCCCUUCGACAUUAAUUGAAUAUGUAGGCUAUGAAAAAUGUGGUGCUUAAGCUCGACGCUGGAAGGGGUGAAAUCAAUGUGAGCGAGGGCAAGUGUGUGAUCCCAAAGCCCAAUUAGGAAUCUCCCCCCAGC
ensembl:lncRNA